UCUCCGUGGGUGAACCUGCGGAAGGAUCAUUAUCGAGUUAGGGUCUCUGGCCCGACCUCCGACCCUGUGUCUACUAUACCAUGUUGCUUUGGCAGGCCCGCUUAGAAAUGGGCCGCCGGAGACCUUUGGGUCUCUGGUCAGUGCCUGCCAGUAGCCAUUCUAAAUUCAUUUAUAACUGUCUGAAUAUACAAAGAAAAAUUAAAAUAAAACUUUCAACAACGGAUCUCUUGGUUCUG
rnacentral:misc_RNA from 1 species